rnacentral:rRNA from 1 species
UAGGGAAUCUUCCGCAAUGGACGCAAGUCUGACGGAGCAACGCCGCGUGAGUGAAGAAGGAUUUCGGUUCGUAAAACUCUGUUGUUAGAGAAGAACAGCGCAUAGAGUAACUGUUAUGCGUGUGACGGUAUCUAACCAGAAAGCCACGGCUAACUACGUGCCAGCAGCCGCGGUAAUACGUAGGUGGCAAGCGUUGUCCGGAUUUAUUGGGCGUAAAGCGAGCGCAGGCGGUCAAUUAAGUCUGAUGUGAAAGCCCCCGGCUCAACCGGGGAGGGUCAUUGGAAACUGGUAGACUUGAGUGCAGAAGAGGAGAGUGGAAUUCCAUGUGUAGCGGUGAAAUGCGUAGAUAUAUGGAGGAACACCAGUGGCGAAGGCGACUCUCUGGUCUGUAACUGACGCUGAGGCUCGAAAGCGUGGGUAGCAAACAGG